AAAUCCUAAGGUGCUCGAGUGAAUCAUGGCUAAGGAACUAGGCAAAAUGGUCUCGUAACUUCGGGAGAAGAGACGCCAACAGCAAUGUUGGCCGCAGUAAAUAGGCCCAGGCAACUGUUUAUCAAAAACGCAUGGCUUUGCAAAAUCGAAAGAUGACGUAUAAGGCCUGACACCUGCCCGGUGCUGGAAGGUUAAGAGGAGAUGUUAGUUUCGGCGAAGCAUUGAAUUGAAGCCCCAGUAAACGGCGGCCGUAACUAUAACGGUCCUAAGGUAGCGAAAUUCCUUGUCGGGUAAGUUCCGACCUGCACGAAUGGUGUAAUGAUCUGGGUACUGUCUCAGCCAUGAGCUCGGUGAAAUUGUAGUAUCGGUGAAGAUGCCGAUUACCCGCAACGGGACGAAAAGACCCCGUGAACCUUUACUAUAGCUUCACAUUGACAUUGGGUAAUUCAUGUGUAGGAUAGGUGGGAGACGUUGAAGCUGCAUCGCCAGGUGUAGUUUAGUCGUCCUUGAAAUACCACCCUUGAAUUAUCUGAUGUCUAACGCUUACUAGUCGUAAGCGAACAUUGUGUGGUGGGUAGUUUGACUGGGGUGGUCGCCUCCAAAAGAGUAACGGAGGCUCCUAAAGGUACCCUCAGCACGCUUGGUAACCGUGCGUAGAGUGUAAUGGCAUAAGGGUGCUUGACUGAGAGACCGACAAGUCGAUCAGGUAGGAAACUAGAGCAUAGUGAUCCGGUGGUUCCGCAUGGAAGGGCCAUCGCUCAAAGGAUAAAAGGUACUCCGGGGAUAACAGGCUGAUCACUCCCAAGAGCUCACAUCGACGGAGUGGUUUGGCACCUCGAUGUCGGCUCGUCACAUCCUGGGGCUGGAGAAGGUCCCAAGGGUUGGGCUGUUCGCCCAUUAAAGUGGCACGCGAGCUGGGUUCAGGACGUCGUGAGACAGUUCGGUCUCUAUCUGUUGUGGGCGUUAGAAAUUUGAGAGGACCUGCCUCUAGUACGAGAGGACCGGGGUGGACGAACCUCUGGUGUACCUGUUGUGGCGCCAGCUGCAUCGCAGGGUAGCUAUGUUCGGAUGAGAUAAGCGCUGAAAGCAUCUAAGCACGAAACUCGCCUCAAGAUGAGAUUUCUUUUAAGGGCCGUGGAAGACGACCACGUUGAUAGGUUACAGGUGUAAAGACAGUAAUGUCAAAGCCGAGUAAUACUAAUUACUC
rnacentral:rRNA from 1 species